UGUGGCCAAUGCCCGAUCUCGUCUGAGCUCACAAGCUAAGCAGGUCUGGGCUCGGUUAGUAUUUGGAUAGGGGGCCGUUGGGAAUACCAGGUGCCACCU
rnacentral:rRNA from 1 species